GAUGAACGCUGGCGGCGUGCCUAAUACAUGCAAGUCGAGCGAACGGACGAGAAGCUUGCUUCUCUGAUGUUAGCGGCGGACGGGUGAGUAACACGUGGAUAACCUACCUAUAAGACUGGGAUAACUUCGGGAAACCGUAGCUAAUACCGGAUAAUAUUUUGAACCGCAUGGUUCAAAAGUGAAAGACGGUCUUGCUGUCACUUAUAGAUGGAUCCGCGCUGCAUUAGCUAGUUGGUAGGUAACGGCUUACCAAGGCAACGAUGCAUAGCCGACCUGAGAGGGUGAUCGGCCACACUGGAACUGAGAUACGGUCCAGACUCCUACGGGAGGCAGCAGUAGGGAAUCUUCCGCAAUGGGCGAAAGCCUGACGGAGCAACGCCGCGUGAGUGAUGAAGGUCUUCGGAUCGUAAAACUCUGUUAUUAGGGAAGAACAUAUGUGUAAGUAACUGUGCACAUCUUGACGGUACCUAAUCAGAAAGCCACGGCUAACUACGUG
rnacentral:rRNA from 1 species